rnacentral:rRNA from 1 species
UACGUAGGGUGCGAGCGUUAAUCGGAAUUACUGGGCGUAAAGCGUGCGCAGGCGGUUUUGUAAGCCAGAUGUGAAAGCCCCGGGCUUAACCUGGGAAUGGCAUUUGGGACUGCAAGGCUUGAGUGCGGCAGAGGAGACUGGAAUUCCUGGUGUAGCAGUGAAAUGCGUAGAUAUCAGGAGGAAUACCGAUGGCGAAGGCAGGUCUCUGGGCUGACACUGAUGCUCAUGCACGAAAGCGUGGGGAGCAAACAGG